ACAGACAAAACCAGGAUCCCUGCAUGUCACGUGUCAGCUGAGUAGCGUACCCCUGUCUGUCCUGGCUAAGCGUGCAAAGGGCUGUAGUGCAGAGUGCGUGCAGACAGGGCCGUGGGGGCUGGGGGCAGCGGGGCAGGAGACACUGAUGCUGUAACGCUUGUGCCUGCAGCUCCGGGAGGUGUUUGAGGACGUGGCAGUGUAUUUCAUACAGGAGGAGUGGGAGCUGCUGGAAGAGGAGGACAAGGGGCUUUACCGGGACCAGACGCUGAGGAACUACCAAGCCCUCGUUUCCCUCGGGGAAAUGUGGACUGCUGGUGACAUGCUGAAAGUCUCACUGGGCUGCAAACUGCUUAAACCUGGAUCCAGAAAAUUGUUGGCCAUUAUGACCUCUUAAAACUGAAGGGUCAAGUACCUAGUGGAGAGGCACCCCGGGAGGGACCCGAUGCAGCAGUAUCACGGACCGUUACCACCAGGGCCGGGGCUACUUGUGCUCCCGCAGUGUUGACCCCCGCAGUACACCUGGGGAACAGGUACAAGGCCCUGGCAGCAUGGGAGGAGGAAGCAGGGGAGGAUGACUCCAGAGCAGCCGAUGUGGCCCCAUGCACGGCACAGAGUGAGCGAUGCUGGAACACCCACAGGAAGAGACGCCGGGUCCUCGUCUGGGCAACUCCCUCCUGAGCGGUACGGAGGGACCCACCUGUCACCCGGAUCCCAUGGCACAUGUGAUUUGCUGCUUGCCUGGAUUCAGGACAUCACGGCCAUGAUCGCAGACCUCAUCCGGCCCUCUGAUCACUACCCCUUGGUCCUCAUCCAUGUGGGCAUGCAUGACGCGGCCGGGAGUUGUCCGGACCACGUCAUGAAAAACUACAAGGCUCUGGGGGACAAGCUUAGGGAGACAGGAGCACACGUGGUUUUGUCAUCUGUUCUUCUGGAGACCAGACAUGGACGGUGCCAUGAGGCCUGCGUCGGAGAGGUCAAUCAGUGACUUUAGAGCUGGAGUUACCGGGCAGCUUUGCAUUCCUCGACCAUGGCCCACCCUUCUGCGCAGCAAACAUGCUAGGGUGGGUCAGGCUAAAUCUCUCCCUGAAAGCAGCUCCCACUCCUCCCGUGUGAAAUACGCUGCCACGUCCUCGAACACCUCCUGGAGGUGGAGGUACAAGCGUUACAGCAUCAGUGUCUCCUGCCCCCGUGGCCUUGUCUGCACUCACUCUACUACAAGUAUUUGCACCUUAGCCACGGAUGCAGCUGUGGACAUAGGCGCUCGUGUGUCGGCCUCAGCCCAGCUCAACACGCUCCAUUUCCUCGGCCCUUGGAGGCAGCCCAGGCAGCACAUUUAGAGGCAGGGAGCCCAGCUCCAGGGACUCUGACCCGGCCUUCCCGUGCCAGCACCCCUGGCUCUCUGCACCUGGGAGUGCGCGCCUGCUAAUGCAGCCUGGGGGGUUUGCAACUGUCACGAGAGACAUCUCACUCUUCAGGUCUCUCUGCUCCCCAAACUCUUGACAGCACCCCUGGCUCCUCCUGGGCUCUGCCCCAGCUGCACUCCCACCCCCAACACCAGCUGGUGCCCUGCUCACCUCCAUGCUCUCCCCCUGCUUCGCCGGCCUGCCCUGCCCCUCCUGCAGCUGGCCCGGCCCAGGCGCCAGGGAGCCACUGUGUCCCCGUGUCCCUGGUGAGGAUCUCUGCAGCUCCAGGUUUACAGGCCCUUCCUCUGGAGGCUGCUGAUCCGCUCUGCUCAGGGUCCCGGCACCAGCGGGUGGAAGAGAGUGCACAGGUGAGCCCUGGGGUGGGGGCAGGGGAAAGCCCUGCUCGUCCCCUGGACUGGCCUGGGGUGAAGGGAGCUGGAGGCUGCAGUGCGUGGAAGAGGGGGGAGAAGGGAGACAAAUCGUUGUACCGGCAAGAGGCUGCACAUGAGCCCCUUGAACUGCACCAGUGCUGAUGAUGAUCACGGCACCAUGACCUCGCUCCCUGGCAAAGGAUCUGGAGGGAUGCUGGUGUUGGGUCAUGUCCACAUGUUGGGGUGGGGAAUCCAGGGUCAGUCUACUCCAGGACAUGUGAAAUGCUCCCAGGGGCACCGGGAGAACAAGAGUCGCCGACCUGCUGGAGCACAGACCCAUCAAACUGUUCUGGCAGAGAGAUUUCUGCACUGGGGGACGGGGCCUCCUGCCACUGGAAACGGGAGACCCACCGCUCCUCACCUCACCUGGGGAAGGGCCUGGUCUGGGGCACCCACCUGGGGACCCUCCACAUGCUGACAGCUUCCAGGUCUCCCCUGUCCCGGGGAGCUGCAGCAGGACGGAGGCCUGGGUGGACUGCACCUGGCCCAGCCAGAGGCCACUGGGGACUCAUUUCCACAUCACCUGCACCAGCCUCUUAUUGACUGAUAUUAUUACAACACUGAUUGUUAGAACAGCAGUUACAUCACUGGUUGUGACCAUGGCAGCAUGGCAAGAGCCAGUCACCUAAAGCAUCUUUCUGAGAGCAGCGGUGCAGGGAGUGAGAAAGAUCCUGGGCCUCGGACCACCCUCAGUGACCAGAGCCCUGUCCCACCCCAGCCACACAGGUACUAACCUUGCGGCCCUGUCCCGGGCAGGGGCAGGCUUUGGAGCCGCUCACCCCAACCACAGGACAGGCGCUCAGGCUCCUAACUGAAAGCCAGGACUUCAUCCCGCUCCUCACUUGCCCCUGGCUCCUUGGACUCAUUCAAGAGCCACCGGAUACUGCCCGCUCUGCUCCGCUCGCUGUCCCCCCAUGCAGCACUUGUUUGGAGCCUGCGACCCCACUCCCACCCUGUUUUCUACCUAGCUGUCCCCCAAACUCAACUGACCUAAACCCAGCACACAACACUAAUAAUGGCGGGUGGCGUGGGGAGGUAACUGCUACUCUUUGGGUGUCGAGCCCAUGUUAAGCUUGUACAUCAAACAGGCGGGUAAGGACCUGGCUCCGGGUUGGGCGGGGCUCCUCUUCGGGGACAUGAGGCAGCUUGACCUCGGGCCCUGGGGUUUCCCGCUCUCCUGCCUCCUCCAGAGGCCUGUCCUUACGACGAGUCUUCGGCUGCUGCCCCCAGGAAUCACCAGGCUCCGGCAGGGCCCGCGGGGGCUGCAUCUGGUCUAUUGACCCCUCCUCGCCCUUCACACGCACGGUGACCUGGGGAGGCGGGCGGGGCACACGCAGGAUGGCGGCGGCCGCGGGGAACGGCCCGACGGACACCUGCCCGCGUCUCCUCAGGCGGGGGCGGGGCCUGGGUCAUAGAUUCAUAGAUGUUAGGGUCGGAAGGGACCUCAAUAGAUCAUCGAGUCCGACCCCCUGCAUGGGCAGGAAAGAUAGCUGGGUCUAGGUGGUCCCAGCUAGAUGGAUAUCCAACCUCCUCUUGAAGACCCCCAGGUGCUUCCCCAAAAUCCAAAUACUGUCACCCUGACACUCUUCCCUCCCUCCCUCCCUUCCUUGCAUUCUCUCUUGACAUCCCUGCUAGCAAAGCUCCUGGACUGAACAUGGUACCUUACGGUUGGUGUCUGUGUCCCCUGCAGAGCUGUGCCGCGGGAACCCUCAGGCCUUUCCAGGGCAGAUCUCUCUGUGACUUCCCAGACCCUUCUCUUUCAGAGGAUUCACUGUUACGCAGAGCUUGUUGCUAACCCUGAGGAGCAGGAGUUGGUCCCAAUCAGGGCUUCACUCCCCGGUCCCACUCAGGGCUUCACUCCCCUGUCCCGCUGUGCAGCCAGGACUCUGCCAUGUUGAAUGAACCUGGGCAGGAGGCAGUAGAGUCCCUUACGUGAGUGCAGUGCGGUAGGAGGGGUGAAGGCGGUGCAGCUGGUGGCAGGUCUACCUCCCCUCUGGAAGUAUAAAAAUAUUCUAGGUCAUGGAGGAAAAGUCUGCUAUGCCUGAACCCUGUAACCAAAUGCUACAGUCGUGGAAAAUUACAGUUUAGAAAAAAGUUCCUGCCACUCAUAUGCAAAUUCACAUUAUUAUUGGCCAGUUUAAAUUAUUCCUCUGUGGCAGCUAGCGAUUGGCUUGCUAGCCAUAUAAAAGUUAAGAGCAGUUUCCGCCCAAGUUGGAGAACUCCACAUACAUCUCGUGGAGAGCUCUGAGCACGCUGUGGAGCCUAGCAAACUCCGCGUGUGUCUUAGAGAAGAACUUAGGGGCCUGAUCAACCUCUAAUCGCUCCCCGUCACUUUCCCAAGGGGGCCUAGCGCACCCCCACCCGAGACGUAAACCGACAACACAAACUCCCAAACCGAAUACCUCUGCAGACGGACCAAACGAACUCUGUAAUUUCUGCCCGACCCAAGUUUUGUUUACAACCGUAAUCCAAGCAAGCUUCUGGCCUGCACUGUACGAGCAGUGUAAGUAAACAAUCUUUUGUUCAAUCAAACGCGUCAGUACCCGAUUCCACUCCAAGCAUCACAAGUACCUGCCUGCCGACUAGGGCUCCUAAGGCCCCGAACCCCGCGCCACGGCUCUCGGCGGCGACACCUCCCUGGCAGUGCCUGAGCUGUUCCAGUGUGCGGAAGGCAGGGGAGCACGUUCACACAGGUAGGUGGGCUGCACGCUGGGGCUCCUACUGAGAUAGUUGCCUGAGGCUGCCCCUAACUGUUAGAGAGUAGGUUCAGAUGAGACAUCAGGAGGCGUUACUUCACAGUUAGGGCAGCUAGGAUCUGGAACCAACUUCCAAGGGAAGUGGUGCUGGCUUCUACCUUGGGGUGUUUCAGAGAGGGCUUGAUGAUUACCUAGCUGGGGUCAUUUGCACCUGGUUUUCUUUCCUGCACAGGGUAGGGGUUUGGACUAGAAGAUCUUUAAGGUCCCUUCUGACCCUACAUCUAUGAAUCUAUGAAAAAAGCAAUUUCAUGAGUUUCAACAUGGAGAAGUGCAAGGUCCUGCACCUAGGACAGAGCAAUCCCACACACCAGGACACGCUGGGGGUGGCGGGCUGGGCAGCAGCUCUGCAGAAAAGGAUCUGGGGGGACAGGGGACAAGAAGCUGAACAGGAGCCAGCAGUGAGCCCUUGUUGCACAAAAGGGUAAUGGCAUCCCAGUCUGCAUUGCUAGGUGUGUUGCUCUUUGGUCGGGUAGUGAUUCUUCCCCUCUAUUCAGCACUGGGGAGGCCACAGCUGGAGUACUGCAUUCAGUGUCAGGCCACCCAAAAGAGAAAGGAUGUGAACAGAUUAGAGAGAGUGCAACGGAGGGCAACGGCAAUAGUGAGGAAGUUGGGGAACUUGACUCAUGAGAAGAGGCUGACGGAAUUGGGUUUAGUUCAUUUGGAAAAUUCCAGUUUGGGAGGGGAUUUAAUAACAGCUUUCAGCUCCCUGAAGGGUGCUUCCAAAGAGCAUGGACUGUUCUGAGUGGUGGCAAGUGACAGAGCAAAGAGAAAUGCUCUCAAGUUGCAUCAAGGGAAGUUCGGGUUAGUAUUAGGAAAAUUUGUCUCAGGAGGAGGGUGGCGAGGCACUGGAACAGGCGCCCCAGAGAGGUGGUGGAGUCUCCAUCCUUGCAGGUUUUGAAGACCCGGGUAGACGAAACCUGGGCUGGGAUGAUGUAGUUUGGGCUGGUCCUGCUUUGAGCACGGGGUCGGACUAGAUGUGACCUCCUGAGGUCGCUUCAACCCUCUUUGUCUGUGAUUCCAUGGCUCAUCUUCUAUGAGCGCACCAUCCGAGUUGUGUUGGCACCGUUGUGGCAGCUACAGCUCUGUGCACCAUGGCCAUGUAAGGAGUGACCUAGAAAGCACUACCCGAAGACGAAGCAGAAGAGAAUGUUAUGUGACGAAUGCCCACCUGCAAUGAUAAGGAGGAGACAGUCCUAGAUAAAGGGGGCUUGAAAACAAAAGCAGAAGCAGGGUACUGGGUUAAAGGGCUCAUUAAAAUACUAAAAAUCACACCCCUAGGUGGGGAAGAAGUGUGCUAAUGAAACACACAUGUAUGUAAAUGAGAUACAUGGCUAAAACACAGGUAUAGAGACAUGCUCAGUAAAGAACUUCUUGUGUCACUCACUUAUAACCAAUCAGCAAACAAGCAUGCUUAUGAAAGCUCAAAAACUCCUGUAUAAAAGAUGCUUAGAAAUAGUGAUCUGGUGUGCUUGUGCGAGCGGAAUAAUUUCAUGUAACCUUUUAUUGCUAGCAAUAAACCUUCUUUGUACUUUCA